UCGUGCCUCAAGAUUUAACAACAACAAUCUCUAUAACCACGAUAUUUCUUCUUCCAUUUGUUAGAUGCAAUAUAAUGUCAGUUACCUUUAUCAAUGUAUUGUACGUGUCGAGUUGUUGUAUACAAAUCGUUCUACUGGUUGACCGCAGAAUGAAAUUCCUGACGGGUGAUGGAAUGAAAAAUGCAAUAUUUUUUCAAAAACCCUCCUAUCAUAUACGCACAUAUACAUACAAACACACAGACACACGCAUUAACAUACACGCACGUGCACGCACGUAUACGCACACAUACAUGCGUAUAUACGAAUACGAGAAGAAACGAAUAGCCUUGUCAUGAUGAACAGUGAUAACGAGACGAACGUGCUUCGACAAGUUUUCCCUUCGACAGUAUUCAAUGUGACUUCGAAAAGGUAACAUCUCUACGUGCCAUCGUCCUCCAGUCUUAAAUCAUCAAAUCGUAGAAGAAAAUUACAAGAGAAUUAAAAAAGCAAAAAGGAAAAAGAAAAAGUAAAACAUCCGAAUAAAAGAUCCAUUAUAUUUCUCGAUUUUUAUAUUUAUUAAUAUAACUUAGAUGACUUUUAAAUUAUUUCAUGUAUUUAAUAUUAUACUUUAUAAUAGUACAUCGAAAUUAUGAAUAUUGUAAAUAUGGAUAUAUCGAAUGUGGAGCAUCGUAUAACUAAUAUAUAUAUAUAUAUUUAAUAUUUAUUUAUUUUAGUAUAUAUCUAGUAUGUUAUAAUAUCUGUGAAUCUAUUUUAAUGUAGACUCGUUUCGAUUGUUUGAUAAUUAUUAUUUAUUUAUUUAAUAUAUAUAUAUAUAUAUAUAUAUAUAUAUUUAUAUAAAAUAUAUUCUCGUAUUUAAAUCUACACGUUUUGAAGUAGCGGAGAUUUUACGAUCAGAUUUUGGUUCCUUCCUUCCUUCCUUCCUUCCUUCCUUCCUUCCUUCCUUCCUGUCCCUUCAGGUUUCACCUAUCUCAUGGCCAUUCGUUCAUUCCUGACGUUACAGUUUAUGGUAUCGUCUUUACGAUGCUUCCACCUGGGUUACAUAUCCAAGGCACCUUCCAACUUCCAUCGGGUAUUAAAUCAAUGUCUCUGAUAUUAUACAGGUACAAGAUAUUCUACGAAAGGAACGUCACCUCAUGGCCAUUCGUAUUACGUAGUUAAGACGACGUAGAAAUGUUUCUAUGGAUGGACCAAAAGUUUUUCAUUCUUCAAAUGAUUUUUUACAAUUUGAGAUAAGAUAAGAAAACAAAUUAAUAGAAACAUGACAGAGAGAAAAAACAACGACGAUUACGACAAUGACAACAACAACGACAACCAACGACGACGACGAAUUCGUUUCAAAAAAAAAAAAAAAGAAAAAAAAAAAAAAAGAAAAACAUCUUUUAUUCCUAUCUUAUAUGUCAUUACGUUUUGUUUAUUUGUAUUUUAAUAUAUCGUAUUGUAGAAUUAGAUUGAAUUGUAUCGAUUUUUUGGAAUCAUUUACACGUUUUAACGUUUAUCCUUAAACUCGUUAAUAUGUUGUAACCAUUUUUAUCUCUGUUUACAAUUGAAAUAUUCUUUUUUGCGAUAUAUCAAUAAACAAAACGACGAGAAGUUUAGUAACGAUAGGACAUAGUUACGCAAGUGCUCACGUUGUUUCUCUAUAUUCACAUGAAUAUAUUUUCCAAAAUAUAUAGAUACUAUGCCGGAUAAUACGCAUUGAAAAUCAGUCAUAUAAACAUACAUGUAUAUAUCUACGCACACAUACACACACACACACACACACACACACACACACACAUAUAUAUAUAUAUAUAUAUAC